rnacentral:rRNA from 1 species
UACAGAGGUCUCAAGCGUUGUCCGGAUUCAUUUGGCGUAAAGGGUGUGUAGGUGGCGCCGUAAGUCGGGUGUGAAAUUUCGGAGCUUAACUCCGAAACUGCAUUCGAUACUGCGGUGCUUGAGGACUGGAGAGGAGACUGGAAUUCAUGGUGUAGCAGUGAAAUGCGUAGAGAUCAUGAGGAAGACCAGUGGCGAAGGCGGGUCUCUGGACAGUUCCUGACACUGAGACACGAAGGCCAGGGGAGCAAACGGG